GGGCGACUUUCUUUCUUUCUUUUUGCAUCAAAAUUGCCUUUUUAGUGACCUUAGAUGAAUCAUAAACUAUGUGGUCUUUGAGGAGAAAGGGUGCAUGUGUGUCAAAAAGUCAACUGGACGCAAAAAAAUUAGAAAAAGAAUUGGUAUGGAAAUGAUAUCAAGAUGAGAUUUUUGAAAAACUGCAGGAAUAUACUUGCUGAAAGACUUUGUUUUGACACUUUAAAUGAUGUUUGAUUAGCCGCUUCGACGUGCCGGCACUUCAGCAUCACCGACGAAAAAAUUCACAAAGCCACAAAUAACACAUGAAAGCAUUGGUCGUAUGAACUCCGUUUCAUGGAUAAGAAGGUGGAAUUCAUGUUCAUAGAGAUUUUUUAUUGAACUGGUAUCUGGUAACAAUAUCAAACUGAAGAUAAUUUUAUGCGAGCGAUGCAAGAACUGCAAUGACAACAAACCGUACGAAAAUAUUCCCAAAGCUACAAAUAAAGACCUUGGUCGGAUAAAUUACGUUUAAUAAAUAAGCUGGUAUUCAUAUUUUUAGGUUAAACUAGUAGCUUGUUUAUCGUGUACUUGUAUGUAACGAAUUUAUAAAGAGACUCAUUAUGAACAAUCGUUGAACUGAAAGAAAUCUCGAUUCUCAAGCGCAAAUCGACAUAUUCUUGUAGUACUUUUCUUAAGUAGUAUCUCAAUAAAAUGCAAAAUACUCA
rnacentral:lncRNA from 1 species